GAAAGCAGAGUGGAUUCACAUAAGAGAGUCCAAGAAAGGGUCUCAAAGCAGAGCAAGGGGAAUGCAGAUCCAGUAAUUCUGGAAAGAGGAAGGACAGUGGAGACAAACACCUCAUGGGGCCAAGAAUCCAUGCGGGAGGAGAUGGAGAAGAGUCUGAGCGAAAAACUGGCUGUGUUGCAGAGACAACUGGAGAUGACCCAGCAAGCAAUCCCACCCAUGAAGGAAAUGACCAAUACCUGGGCCUCCCUUCAAAAACUCCCUGAGAACAUGCAAGCCCUGCAGAAAGGUUUGGAGAACCUGCAGGUGUCCACAAAGGAAGACCUUCAGAUGCUCAGAGCAGACCUGGAGGGAAGAGUACCAAAAGCA
ensembl:lncRNA